rnacentral:rRNA from 1 species
CGCGAAUCGCCCUUCGGGGUGCACAGGCGCGAAAACUUUACAAUGCCGGCAACGGCGAUAAGGGAACCUCGAGUGCCAGGUUACAAAUCUGGCUGUCGUGAUGCCUAAAAAGCAUUGCAUAGCAAGGGCCGGGCAAGACCGGUGCCAGCCGCCGCGGUAACACCGGCGGCUCGAGUGGUAACCGUUAUUAUUGGGUCUAAAGGGUCUGUAGCCGGCCGGGUAAGUCUCUUGGGAAAUCUGGCAGCUUAACUGUCAGGCUUUCAGGAGAUACUGCCUGGCUCGAGGCCGGGAGAGGUGAGAGGUACUUCAGGGGUAGGGGUGAAAUCUUGUAAUCCUUGAAGGACCACCAGUGGCGAAGGCGUCUCACCAGAACGGACCUGACGGCAAGGGACGAAAGCUAGGGGCACGAACCGGAUUAGAUACCCGGGUAGUCCUAGCCGUAAACGAUACUCGCUAGGUGUCGGCCACGGUGCGACCGUGGUCGGUGCCGUAGGGAAGCCGUGAAGCGAGCCACCUGGGAAGUACGGCCGCAAGGCUGAAACUUAAAGGAAUUGGCGGGGGAGCAC